rnacentral:rRNA from 1 species
UGGGGAAUAUUGCACAAUGGGCGAAAGCCUGAUGCAGCAACGCCGCGUGAGUGAUGAAGGCCUUCGGGUUGUAAAGCUCUGUCUUCUGGGACGAUAAUGACGGUACCAGAGGAGGAAGCCACGGCUAACUACGUGCCAGCAGACGCGGUAAUACGUAGGUGGCAAGCGUUGUCCGGAUUUACUGGGCGUAAAGGAUGCGUAGGCUGAUACUUAAGUCAGAUGUGAAAAUCCCGGGCUUAACUUGGGAACUGCAUUUGAAACUGGGUAUCUAGAGUGCGGGGGAGGAAAGUGGAAUUCCUAGUGUAGCGGUGAAAUGCGUAGAGAUUAGGAAGAACACCAGUGGCAAAGGCGACUUUCUGGACCGUAACUGACGCUGAGGCAUGAAAGCGUGGGGAGCAAACA